rnacentral:tRNA from 1 species
GCCACAUUAGCUCAGGGGUAGAGCGUCAGUCUUGUAAACUGAAGGCCGGUGGUUCAAAUCCGCCAUGUGGCU